rnacentral:rRNA from 1 species
UCUUGACAUCCACAGAACUUAGCAGAGAUGCUUUGGUGCCUUCGGGAACUUUGAGACAGGUGCUGCAUGGCUGUCGUCAGCUCGUGUUGUGAAAUGUUGGGUUAAGUCCCGCAACGAGCGCAACCCUUAUCUUUUGUUGCCAGCGGUUCGGCCGGGAACUCAAAGGAGACUGCCAGUGAUAAACUGGAGGAAGGUGGGGAUGACGUCAAGUCAUCAUGGCCCUUACGAGCAGGGCUACACACGUGCUACAAUGGCAUAUACAAAGAGAAGCGACCUCGCGAGAGCAAGCGGACCUCAUAAAGUAUGUCGUAGUCCGGAUUGGAGUCUGCAACUCGACUCCAUGAAGUCGGAAUCGCUAGUAUAUCGUAGAUCAGAAUGCCACGGUGAAUAAGUUCCCGGGCCUUGUNACACAANGCCCGUNAANGGCANCCAUANGGGUNNCUAAAGNAGUNCGUAGUAUNNNUUUNUGGNUNNCAUUUAGCNAUAAGUGGUUACGAANACC